rnacentral:rRNA from 1 species
UUUUAAUGGCCGCGGUAUCCUGACCGUGCAAAGGUAGCAUAAUCAUUUGCCGUUUAAUUGGCGGCUAGUAUGAAAGAAAAAACAAGGGUAUAGCUGUCUUUUUUGCAGACUAAAAUUUGCUGGUGCUGUGAAGAAGCAGCAGUGGAAGAAAAAGACAAGAAGACCCUAUUAAGCUUUACGAGUUGUUUUUGUUUUUUUUUUCAUGAAGAAUAAAAAACAAAAACUGAUUUGUUUGGUUGGGGUGACCAAAAAGGAAAAAAUCCUUUUUUCAAAAAAAUAUGUUAAGUUUAAUAAUGAUCCAGAACUUCUGAUUUUAAGAACAAGUUACUAUAGGGAUAACAGCGUAAUUUUUUCAGAGAGUUCUUAUUGACGAAAAAGUUUGCGACCUCGAUGUUGACUUGUUAUUUCCUAAUAAGGUGUAGAAGCUUUUAGGGUUAGUCUGUUCG